rnacentral:rRNA from 1 species
AUUGAAACAUCAGUUCCCGUAUGAUCACUGAAGUUAAGCAACAUUGAGCCUGGUCAGUACCUAGAUGGGUGACUGCUUGGGAAUACCCAGUGCUGUAA